UACGAAGGGUGCAAGCGUUACUCGGAAUUACUGGGCGUAAAGCGUGCGCAGGUGGUUUGUUAAGUCUGCUGUGAAAGCCCCGGGCUCAACCUGGGAAUGGCAGUGGAGACUGGCAAGCUAGAGUGCGGUAGAGGAUAGUGGAAUUCCAGGUGUAGCGGUGAAAUGCGUAGAUAUCUGGAGGAAUACCGGUGGCGAAGGCGGCAUCCUGGACCGGCAUUGACGCUGAGGAGCGAAAGCCAGGGGAGCAAAGCGGG
rnacentral:rRNA from 1 species